UAGGGAAUCUUCCACAAUGGACGCAAGUCUGAUGGAGCAACGCCGCGUGAGUGAAGAAGGUCUUCGGAUCGUAAAACUCUGUUGUUAGAGAAGAACACGAGUGAGAGUAACUGUUCAUUCGAUGACGGUAUCUAACCAGCAAGUCACGGCUAACUACGUCACGA
rnacentral:rRNA from 1 species